UGGGGAAUAUUGCACAAUGGGCGCAAGCCUGAUGCAGCCAUGCCGCGUGUAUGAAGAAGGCCUUCGGGUUGUAAAGUACUUUCAGCGGGGAGGAAGGGAGUAAAGUUAAUACCUUUGCUCAUUGACGUUACCGACAGAAGAAGCACCGGCUAACUCCGUGCCAGCAGCCGCGGUAAUACGGAGGGUUCAAGCGUUAAUCGGAAUUACUGGGCGUAAAGCGCACGCAGGCGGUUGAUUGAGUCAGAUGUGAAAUCCCCGGGCUUAACCCAGGAAAUGCAUCUGAUACUGGUCAGCUAGAGUCUUGUAGAGGGGGGUAGAAUUCCAUGGGUAGCGGUGAAAUGCGUAAAGAUGUGGAGGAAUACCGGUGGCGAAGGCGGCCCCCUGGACAAAGACUGACGCUCAGGUGCGAAAGCGUGGGGAGCAAACAGG
rnacentral:rRNA from 1 species